GAGUUUGAUCCUGGCUCAGAUUGAACGCUGGCGGCAUGCUUUACACAUGCAAGUCGAACGGUAACAGGCCGCAAGGUGCUGACGAGUGGCGAACGGGUGAGUAAUGCAUCGGAACGUGCCCAAUCGUGGGGGAUAACGCAGCGAAAGCUGUGUUAAUACCGCAUACGAUCUACGGAUGAAAGCGGGGGACUCGCAAGAGCCUCGCGCGAUUGGAGCGGCCGAUGUCAGAUUAGGUAGUUGGUGGGGUAAGGCUCACCAAGCCAACGAUCUGUAGCUGGUCUGAGAGGACGACCAGCCACACUGGAACUGAGACACGGUCCAGACUCCUACGGGAGGCAGCAGUGGGGAAUUUUGGACAAUGGGCGCAAGCCUGAUCCAGCAAUGCCGCGUGCAGGAAGAAGGCCUUCGAGUUGUAAACUGCUUUUGUACGGAACGAAAAGGUCUGGGUUAAUACCCUGGGCUGAUGACGGUACCGUAAGAAUAAGCACCGGCUAACUGCGUGCCAGCAGCCGCGGUAAUACGUAG
rnacentral:rRNA from 1 species